rnacentral:rRNA from 1 species
GAAGGGACCUAGCGUAGUUCGGAAUUACUGGGCUUAAAGAGCACGUAGGUGGUUAAGAAAGUUGGUGGUGAAAUCCCAAGGCUUAACCUUGGAACUGCCACCAAAACUUUUUAACUAGAGUAUGAUUGAGGUAAGCGGAAUUUCUAGUGUAGAGGUGAAAUUCGUAGAUAUUAGAAAGAACACCAAUUGCGAAGGCAGCUUUCUGGAUCAUUACUGACACUGAGGUGCGAAAGCAUGGGUAGCGAAGAGGAUUAGAUACCCUCGUAGUCCAUGCCGUAAACGAUGUGUGCUAGACGUUGGGAAUUUAUUUUUCAGUGUCGCAGCAAAAGCGUUAAGCACACCGCCUGGGGAGUACGACCGCAAGGUUAAAACUCAAAUGAAUUGACGGGGACCCGCACAAGUAGUGGAGCAUGUGGUUUAAUUCGAAGAUACGCGCAGAACCUUACCAACACUUGACAUGUUCGUCGCGACUCUAAGAGAUUAGAGUUUUCGGUUCGGCCGGACGAAACACAGGUGCUGCAUGGCUGUCGUCAGCUCGUGUCGUGAGAUGUUGGGUUAAGUCCCGCAACGAGCGCAACCCUUACUUUUAGUUGCUACCAUUCAGUUGGGCACUCUAAAAGAACUGCCAGUGAUAAGCUGGAGGAAGGUGGGGAUGACGUCAAGUCCUCAUGGCCCUUAUGUGUUGGGCUACACACGUGCUACAAUGGUAUUUACAGUGGGAAGCAAAGAGGCAACUCCAAGCAAACCCUCAAAAAAUACCUCAGUUCGGAUUGUACUCUGCAACUCGAGUACAUGAAGCUGGAAUUACUAGUAAUCGCAGAUCAGCGCGCUGCGGUGAAUACGUUCCCGGGUCUU